rnacentral:rRNA from 1 species
UACAGAGGAGCCAAGCGUUGUCCGGAUUGACUGGGCGUAAAGCGCACGCAGGCGGAUGCGCGCGUGGGGUGUGAAAUCUGGCCGCUUAACGGCCAGGCGCCAUCCCAUACGGCGCGUCUGGAGUGAUGCAGAGGUCGAUGGAAUUGCCGGUGUAGUGGUGAAAUGCGUAGAUAUCAGGAGGAACACCGGUGGUGUAGACGGCUUUCUGGACCGUAACUGACGCUGAGACACGAAAGCGUGGGGAGCAAACAGG